UGGUGAUGUAGGAGGACAGCCAGAAGAAGUGGGAUAAGCCAAGCCCUUGGCUUAUUUUUUCCUGUUGUGUGGAGGCUAAUCUUCUCUAAGCUGCUGCCUGAAUUUCUAAACCCUGAAGGUUUUUCCUGUCGUCUGUCAACUGACCAGCCUUGGGAUACUGAGGAUAUCAGUGUUUGUGCCGAGGAAGGUGUGGCAGAGGGACUCCGGGGUGAUGGUCUUCCGGCUGGCUGCCAACACAGCAGAAAUGUGGGAGGAAAACUUGAGUGAUCAGCCAAGUCGCUGGAAGGACCAAGGAGUUCCCCAGGAUCUCCCAGGUAAAAUUGUCCUCCUGCUGUGCAUGUACUUUUAUACCACCUGACUGUUUGCCUGUGUGACCUGUUUGUGCCGAUGGGAUGUUAGCAGAGAACAUGCAGAAGGCAAGUUGAACAGUGCUUGUGCAAACGGUCCUGCUUUCUUGCACCUCUGAUGUCGCCAUGAAAAGAGGACACCUUGGUAGUCUGCUGGUUCCAGGAAGAGGACGAAGAGGAUAAGAAACACGUGGAGCAGAGCCCAACCAACCCAUGAAUCCAUGAGAGUAAAUGGGUGUUAUUUUAAGCCACUAUAUUUAAGAGUGGUUUGUUAUACUGAACUUUUGUGGUAAUAGCUAACUGAUAUAGAUACCAUGCCUAUUAGAAAAGAGGAUAAUAAGUGGCAGUUCGAUGUCAUAUUCCAAAUCAAAUCUUAUUAACAGUAUCUCUUCUGAAGAGUCAAAUGAUCCAUAAGAACUUUAAGUGUCAUCUUUUUCUCUCUUCUGUUCCUCUAAUUUUACACCAGUUCUGUGUUAGCAUGUCCCCGUGACAUGGAGACAGUGAUUGCAAAGGAGACAAAACUAUUGUGAUUUUCAAUGGAGUGACUACCUACGAAAGAAUCAGAUGUACUUUGAGAGAGUUCAGCAAGGUGGCUAAUUACGAACUAAAUAAAAUUAAUAGCUUUUAUAUAGAACUGAUAAUGCCAAUUAAAAGAUAUAAUAGGUAAAACAAUCUCAUACACAAGAGAAAACAUAAAAAUAAACUACCUAGAAAUAAAAUUAAAAUGAAAUGUGCAUAACCUACAUGAUGGAAAG